rnacentral:rRNA from 1 species
GAUGAACGCUGGCGGCGUGCCUAAUACAUGCAAGUCGAGCGAACGGACGAGAAGCUUGCUUCUCUGAUGUUAGCGGCGGACGGGUGAGUAACACGUGGAUAACCUACCUAUAAGACUGGGAUAACUUCGGGAAACCGUAGCUAAUACCGGAUAAUAUUUUGAACCGCAUGGUUCAAAAGUGAAAGACGGUCUUGCUGUCACUUAUAGAUGGAUCCGCGCUGCAUUAGCUAGUUGGUAAGGUAACGGCUUACCAAGGCAACGAUGCAUAGCCGACCUGAGAGGGUGAUCGGCCACACUGGAACUGAGACACGGUCCAGACUCCUGCGGGAGGCAGCAGUAGGGAAUCUUCCGCAAUGGGCGAAAGCCUGACGGAGCAACGCCGCGUGAGUGAUGAAGGUCUUCGGAUCGUAAAACUCUGUUAUUAGGGAAGAACAUAUGUGUAAGUAACUGUGCACAUCUUGACGGUACCUAAUCAGAAAGCCACGGCUAACUACGUG